rnacentral:rRNA from 1 species
AGGGUAUGAUACUGGCUCAGAACGAACGCUGGCGACGUGGAUUAGGCAUGCAAGUCGAGCGUACGGGCCCGCCUUCGGGUGGGAAACCGAGCGGCAAAAGGGUGAGUAAUGCGUAGGUAACUUGCCCUUGAGUGGGGGAUAACGGCCGGAAACGGCCGCUAAUACCCCAUACGAUCGUUGGGUCUCUGGAUCCGACGAAGAAAGGAGGGCAACUUCCGCUCAAGGAUUGGCCUACGUCCUAUUAGCUUGUUGGUGAGGUAACGGCUCACCAAGGCGACGAUGGGUAGCCGACCUGAGAGGGUGACCGGCCACACUGGGACUGAGACACUGCCCAGACUCCUACGGGAGGCUGCAGUCGAGAAUCAUCCGCAAUGGGCGAAAGCCUGACGGUGCGACGUCGCGUGGAGGACGAAGGCCUUCGGGUUGUAAACUCCUGUCACGGGUUCAGAAAUGUAUGGAGGUAACGCUCCGUACUUGACAAAACCGAAAGGAAGCCACGGCUAACUCCGUGCCAGCAGCCGCGGUAAUACGGAGGUGGCUAGCGUUGUUCGGUAUCACUGGGCUUAAAGGGGGCGCAGGCGGUCCAGCAAGUCGGCAUGUGAAAGCCCUCGGCUCAACCGAGGAAUUGCGUCCGAUACUGUUGGACUAGAGGCUCGUAGGGGAGAGUAGAAUUCCUGGUGUAGCGGUGAAAUGCGUAGAUAUCAGGAAGAAUGCCGGUGGCGAAGGCGACUCUCUGGGCGAGCCCUGACGCUGAGGCCCGAAAGCCGGGGGAGCGAACAGGAUUAGAUACCCUGGUAGUCCCGGCUGUAAACGAUGGGCACUAUGUAGGGGUGGGUAACCAUCCCUGCUCAAGCAAAAGUAAUAAGUGCCCCGCCUGGGGAGUAUGGUCGCAAGGCUGAAACUCAAAGCAAUUGACGGGGGCUCACACAAGCGGUGGAGGAUGUUCUUUAAUUCGAAGCAACGCGAAGAACCUUACCGGGGCUUGAACCGCUGGGUAAACCCUGUGAAAGCAGGGCUGUCUAACGACGACCCAGUAGAGGUGUUGCAUGGCUGUCGUCAGCUCGUGUCGUGAGAUGUCGGGUUAAGUCCCAUAACGAGCGAAACCCUUGUUCCUAGUUACCAGCACUUCGGGUGGGUACUCUAGGGAGACUGCCGGUGUUAAACCGGAGGAAGGUGGGGAUGACGUCAAGUCAUCAUGGCCCUUAUGUCCCGGGCUAGAAACGUCCUACAAUGGGCGGUACAAAGAGAACCGAUGCCGCGAGGCGGGGGAAAUCUCCUAAAGCCGCCCUCAGUUCGGAUUGCAGGCUGAAAUUCGCCUGCAUGAAGCUGGAAUCGCUAGUAAUCGCGGAUCAGCAUGCCGCGGUGAAUAUGUUCCUGAGCCUUGUACACACCGCCCGUCAAGCCACGAGAGUCGGGGGUACCCGAAGUCGCUGACCCAACCGCAAGGAGGGAGGCGCCGAAGGUAAAACCGGUAAUCGGGACUAAGUCGAAACAAGGUA